rnacentral:rRNA from 1 species
GACGAACGCUGGCGGCGUGCCUAACACAUGCAAGUCGAACGAAGCUGCUGAGACUGAUUUCUUCGGAAUGACGAUUCAGCAGACUUAGUGGCGGACGGGUGAGUAACACGUGAGCAACCUGCCUCUCAGAGAGGGAUAACAGUUGGAAACGAUUGAUAAUACCUCAUGACAUGUUUUUACCGCAUGACGAAAACAUCAAAGAUUUAUCGCUGAGAGAUGGGCUCGCGUCCGAUUAGGUAGAUGGUGAGGCAACGGCUCACCAUGCCGACGAUCGGUAGCCGGACUGAGAGGUCGAUCGGCCACAUUGGGACUGAGACACGGCCCAGACUCCUACGGGAGGCAGCAGUGGGGGAUAUUGCACAAUGGGCGCAAGCCUGAUGCAGCAACGCCGCGUGAGGGAGGACGGUCUUCGGAUUGUAAACCUCUGUCCUUGGGGAAGAAACAAAUGACGGUACCCUUGGAGGAAGCCACGGCUAACUACGUG